rnacentral:rRNA from 1 species
GACGAACGCUGGCGGCGUGCCUAAUACAUGCAAGUCGAGCGGACAGAAGGGAGCUUGCUCCCGGAAGUUAGCGGCGGACGGGUGAGUAACACGUGGGCAACCUACCCUGUAGAUCGGGAUAACAUCGAGAAAUCGGUGCUAAUACCGGAUAAUCAUUUGAAGUGCAUGCUUCGAAUGUAAAAGAUGGCUCCGGCUAUCACUACGGGAUGGGCCCGCGGAGCAUUAGCUGGUUGGUAAGGUAAUGGCUUACCAAGGCAACGAUGCGUAGCAGCCCUGAGAGGGUGAUCGGCCACACUGGGACUGAGACACGGCCCAGACUCCUACGGGAGGCAGCAGUAGGGAAUCUUCCGCAAUGGACGAAAGUCUGACGGAGCAACGCCGCGUGAGUGAUGAAGGUUUUCGGAUCGUAAAGCUCUGUUGUUAGGGAAGAACAAGUGCCGUUUGAAUAAGGCGGCACCUUGACGGUACCUAACCAGAAAGCCACGGCUAACUACGUGCCAGCCGCCGCCGUAAGAC